UUUCACGCCACUGUCACAGGUGCCUAACGACACAUCAUGCAAAAGUGUCUGGUUAGGUUAAACGGGAAAUGUGGUUCCCAUCAAACAAUCUUCAUGAAUAUUAGUGUGCUUGUACGUCAUGAUGGCUUACGUUUGUUGUUAUUCCACUGCUGCCCCCGCAACGGUAAUACGCCAAGCGCGUUAGCCCGACACCGGCCUGAAAUAUUAUUCACAG
rnacentral:ncRNA from 2 species